UGUUUAUCAAAAACAUUGUCAUACGACCUUGACAUGUAUGAUAAACCCUGCCCAGUGAUAAUAUUAAACGGCCGCGGUAUCCUAACCGUGCAAAGGUAGCAUAAUAAUUUGCCCAUUAAUUGUGGGCUAGUAUGAAUGGACAAACGAAGAUAUAACUGUCUCCGCUAAACUACUAUAAACUAAUCUUUAUGUGAAGAAGCAUAAAUUCCUUCGCUGGACAAGAAGACCCUAUAGAGCUUUAUCUUAACAAUCUAAUAACAUAUAUAAUCUUAAGAUUUGGUUGGGGCGACCUAGGACACAUAAACCCUCCUAAUACAAAUAGAUCCACAUAUCUAUAAAAGAUCCUUACACUAAGAUCAAAGAAAUUAGUUACCUUAGGGAUAACAGGCUAAUUUUCCUUCAGAGUUCUAAUCGGCAGGAAAGUUUGGCACCUCGAUGUUGGCUUAGAGUAUUCUGUGUAGCGCAGCAACUACACAAAGAGGGUUUGUUCAACCCUUAAUUCUCUACGUGAUCUGAGUUCAGACCGG
rnacentral:rRNA from 1 species